AUUACCUUGAAGGUGGCUGGUCUCAUCUGAUCUCAGAAGAUAAGCAACGUCAGGAUGGGUUAGGGUUUGGAUGGCAGACUCCGGGUAAUU
ensembl:rRNA Gm22224 predicted gene, 22224